GCAGUCGUGGCCGAGUAGUUAAGGCGAUGGACAAGAAAUCCAUUGGGGUCUCCCCGCACAGGUUCGAAUCCUGUCGACUGCG
rnacentral:tRNA from 1 species